GAUGAACGCUGGCGGCGUGCCUAAUACAUGCAAGUCGAGCGAACAGAUGAGGAGCUUGCUCCUCUGACGUUAGCGGCGGACGGGUGAGUAACACGUGGAUAACCUACUUAUAAGACUGGGAUAACUUCGGGAAACCGGAGCUAAUACCGGAUAAUAUAUUGAACCGCAUGGUUCAAUAGUGAAAGACGGUUUUGCUGUCACUUAUAGAUGGAUCCGCGCCGCAUUAGCUAGUUGGUAAGGUAACGGCUUACCAAGGCAACGAUGCGUAGCCGACCUGAGAGGGUGAUCGGCCACACUGGAACUGAGACACGGUCCAGACUCCUACGGGAGGCAGCAGUAGGGAAUCUUCCGCAAAGGGCGAAAGCCUGACGGAGCAACGCCGCGUGAGUGAUGAAGGUCUUCGGAUCGUAAAACUCUGUUAUUAGGGAAGAACAAAUGUGUAAGUAACUAUGCACGUCUUGACGGUACCUAAUCAGAAAGCCACGGCUAACUACGUG
rnacentral:rRNA from 1 species